ensembl:lncRNA
CUUGUCAAGAUUCCUUAUUAAUAGCAGAGAAGUAAUCUUAGUCUUUCAAUGGCAGCAAUUCUCUAGGCAACUGCUGAAUUUGUAAGAAUACAGAUGGUGCCUGCCAUUUCUUUUUUUUUCAGUACCACACUGCAUUCCUCACCUGACAUGUGGAACUUGUUUGCUACUAUAAUGCGUCAGCUGCAGACACUUUUCUUAGAGCAGAGCUCGUGAUGGUGAUCUGAUUUGAAACUUGUUGGCACGGUGCCUUUUCCUCUCUG